rnacentral:rRNA from 1 species
GACAGAGGUGGCAAGCGUUGUUCGGAAUUACUGGGCUUAAAGGGCGCGUAGGUGGUGAUAUAAGUCCGAGGUGGAAGACUGGGGCUUAACCUCAGAAUUGCCUUGGAUACUGUAUGACUUGAGUCAGCGAGGGGAUGGCGGAAUUCCAGGUGUAGCGGUGAAAUGCGUAGAUAUCUGGAGGAAGGCCGGUGGCGAAGGCGGCCAUCUGGCGCUGAACUGACACUGAGGCGCGAAAGCGUGGGGAGCAAACAGGAUUAGAUACCCUGGUAGUCCACGCCCUAAACGGUGGGUACUAGGUGUAGGGCUCGUAAGGGUUCUGUGCCGAAGGGAAACCAUUAAGUACCCCGCCUGGGAAGUACGGCCGCAAGGUUGAA